UGGGUUAAUCGUUCUCCGUCAAGGAUUGUAAACCAUAUUCCUCGAUUUUGAUAUUCCGUGGAAUAUUUCUCGGUGUCCUGCGCCGCUCUGGCGAUUUUCCCACUUUAAAUCUCUCCGGCGGCCUUAUCCGUUUGAGUGGUGCCGGAUCAAUAUCUCCAGCUCUAUUGGCCAAGACCUUCUCUGGCCGCCAACUGAUUUGCCGCGAUCCCCUCCUCUUACCACGCCAGGCCGCACCCUCCGGUGGCGAGGAAUACCUAUUGCGUGCCCGUGGACACCGAUAUGCCCCAUCGUUUACCAGCGAAUUCACUCUUCUGGUCUUUCGGUUCGAGUGAACGAGUGUGGGCUCUACGACGGCUGUCCGACGGCUGCACACGGUAUAUGAAUUUUGUCGCGCGAGGCUGUGGUCUUUGGUCCUCAUCCUUUUGGGAUGUCUAUGGGAUGUGCUCCUAGCUGGACUCUGGCAGCCACUGGCUGAUGAGUCGACAAUGUGGUGUCCCGUUCGCUGCAGUAGGAACUAGUGAUCGACGGCGGAAUUGUUGGUUGACGUCCACUGGAAAUAAUGUCAGCAACCCACUCAAUCAAAAGCCGCCGAAUCAGCUUCGAGACGCAACUUAUGUACCCUACCGAGUCGUAUCCGAUAUUCCCCCGCCUGAAAGAGUCAUAUCCAGGCCUAACCGGCGUAUUCCAGGCGUAUUCGAGACACACCGAGUCCUAUUCCAGCCAAACAGACUCGUAUCCCAGCAGGACAGAAGCGCACGCCUUGCAAGAUCCGAAACUAAGAAGCCAUCGUCAUCCUUCCAUCUGGCUAUCGACAACAAGGACUUUGAGGGAGUGGCUACGCGGGCUUCUAGAUAGCUAUCGUUCCUGUUAGGUUUAAGGAUAUACGCGUCCAUAUAUUUAGAUAGUAGAUAGUAGAACAAAUAGUUUAUUUAUUUAUACUAAGCUAA